rnacentral:rRNA from 1 species
UGGGGAAUAUUGCACAAUGGGCGAAAGCCUGAUGCAGCGACGCCGCGUGAGUGAAGAAGUAUUUCGGUAUGUAAAGCUCUAUCAGCAGGGAAGAAAAUGACGGUACCUGACUAAGAAGCCCCGGCUAACUACGUGCCAGCAGCCGCGGUAAUACGUAGGGGGCAAGCGUUAUCCGGAUUUACUGGGUGUAAAGGGAGCGCAGACGGCACUGCAAGUCUGAAGUGAAAGCCCGGGGCUCAACCCCGGGACUGCUUUGGAAACUGUAGGGCUAGAGUGCUGGAGAGGCAAGCGGAAUUCCUAGUGUAGCGGUGAAAUGCGUAGAUAUUAGGAAGAACACCAGUGGCGAAGGCGGCUUGCUGGACAGUAACUGACGUUCAGGCUCGAAAGCGUGGGGAGCAAACAGGAUUAGAUACCCUGGUAGU